AACCUUAUGGACCUGCGGGCGUAUACCUGCGGAGGGAUCAUUACCUGUACCUCAGCGGCGGACUCCAAGCGAGCCCGCCUGUCUGAACCUUACCCCUGCUUUUUGCGCACCCACUGUUUCCUCGGCAGGCUUGCCUGCCAGCAGGACCCCCCUUUAAACCUUUUUGCAGUUGCAGUCUGCGUCAGCCACAAUACAAAUAGUUACAACUUUCAGCAAUGGAUCUCAGAUCGGAAGAGCACA
rnacentral:misc_RNA from 1 species